rnacentral:rRNA from 1 species
UACAGAGGGUGCGAGCGUUGUUCGGAAUUACUGGGCGUAAAGCGCGCGUAGGCGGCUUUGUAAGUUAGAGGUGAAAGCCCGGAGCUCAACUCCGGAACUGCCUUUAAAACUGCAUCGCUUGAAUCCAGGAGAGGUGAGUGGAAUUCCGAGUGUAGAGGUGAAAUUCGUAGAUAUUCGGAAGAACACCAGUGGCGAAGGCGGCUCACUGGACUGGUAUUGACGCGUGAG